UCUCCGUUGGUGAACCAGCGGAGGGAUCAUUACAGGACUCGCAAGACUCCUACAACCCUGUGAACUUAACUAUAAGCACGUUGCUUCGGCGGGUGUCUCGGAGGGGGUUCUCCCUCCCCGAGACGCUAAACCCGCCGGCAGCCUACUAUACUCUGUCUCUUUGCGUUGGCAUCUCGAGUACAAUCAAACAAGUUAAAACUAUCAACAACGGAUCUCUUGGUUCUG
rnacentral:misc_RNA from 1 species